CCGGCCCUGUGAGACAAACCCAAGUUAUACAAAACCUCCAAUAAGUAAGUUAAAGAUAAAGAAGAUUAUAAUUUCUCCAAUUCUCAUCUUCGAAGAUAACAGACAUCAGCACUCCCUACCAGUAGGAUUGAUUGCUAUAGGAUCUUACUUAUUUCACAAAAUUAAAUGGUUAUGCCCAUCUAACUAAACGAGGAUGAGGAAUGAAGUACUUGGUGUAUUUAACAAAGAUGAGGGCAAGGAUGCGCACAAGGAAAAGAAGAUGAGCACUCCAGUUCCGAUUAAUUAUUCAACUGCGGAACAACAAUCAGUUUCUGAGACCCCAUCAACGAAUAUGGUUGUAGCUACCGAAUUUGCAAAGCAUGUUACAACAACAAAUUCGAAAUAGGAGAAGCCUCGUGGAAAAUGAUGAUUUGUCUUUUGUAAUUGGGGAUGUUGAAUUACAUUUUUGUGGGGUUUGGGGACUUUUAGGACGCAUUAAUUACGUAUUAAAUGAUUUAAUUAGUUUAAAAG
rnacentral:lncRNA from 1 species